GGUCGCUGAGAUAGCUUGGUGAAAUCGCCCUCCUUACAAGUGGGAAAUGAUAGGUUCGAACCCUAUAGCGACUACCA
rnacentral:tRNA from 1 species